rnacentral:lncRNA from 1 species
CCUUGUGGUGAAGGUUUUCUCCUGAACUGGCAUGUCAUGGCUAAGUGCAGUGCUACCAAAACCACGAAAAUCGUGACGGUUAUAGCGGUUAUCGUGCCUACCUAUAUAGCGUGGUAACGGUAGUAUCGUGAUAACAGCCUUGAAUUAAAACAAAAUAUAAAAAUAACCAAGAGUAUCUCAGAACAAUUGUGUUGCUUUUUGGUAAUUAGUUGAGUUUAAUAAAACUUCUAUUAUUUAAAAAUAGGGAUAGUGCUGCUUACGAGACUGAGGACACACCUUCUCAUGAAGAAGUGAUGU